rnacentral:rRNA from 1 species
GGAGGUAGUGACAAUAAAUCACAAUGCGGAACUUCUGUUUUGCAAUUGGAUUGAGAACAACGCACAACAUUUAUCGAUAAACAAUUGGAGGGCAAGUCUGGUGCCAGCAGCCGCGGUAAUUCCAGCUCCAAUAGCGUAUAUUAACGUUGUUGCAGUUAAAAAGCUCGUAGUUGAAGUGAAGUGUGAAUCUCUUGGAUUUUCGUUUGAAUUUCCUUUAGCUUCAUACUCUUUCCAAAUAGUUUGCAUGGGUAUUUACUUAUCUGUGUAUUGCAUUUGGUCAUUUACUGUGAGAAAAUUAGAGUGUUCAAAGCAUACGUUUGUUUGAAUACAUUAGCAUGGAAUAAUUCGAAAAGGCUUUCAUGUUCGAUUUGAUAGGUUUGUUCGUGGAGGCAAGAUUAAAAGGGACAGUUGGGGGUAUUCAUAUUCAAUAGUCAGAGGUGAAAUUCUCGGAUUUAUGGAAGAUGAACAAGUGCGAAAGCA